rnacentral:rRNA from 1 species
UACGUAGGGACCGAGCGUUGUCCGGAAUCAUUGGGCGUAAAGAGCGUGUAGGCGGCCUUUUAAGUCCUGCGUGAAAUCCUGCGGCUCAACCGCAGACGGUCGUGGGAAACCGGAAGGCUAGAGUGCGGGAGAGGAGAGUGGAAUUCCCGGUGUAGCGGUGAAAUGCGCAGAUAUCGGGAAGAACACCCGUGGCGAAGGCGGUUCUCUGGGACGGUACUGACGCUGAGACGCGAAAGCGUGGGGAGCGAACAGG